UACGUAGGGUGCGAGCGUUGUCCGGAAUUAUUGGGCGUAAAGAGCUCGUAGGCGGUUUGUCGCGUCUGCUGUGAAAACGCGAGGCUCAACCUCGCGCCUGCAGUGGGUACGGGCAGACUAGAGUGCGGUAGGGGAGAUUGGAAUUCCUGGUGUAGCGGUGGAAUGCGCAGAUAUCAGGAGGAACACCGGUGGCGAAGGCGGGUCUCUGGGCAGUAACUGACGCUGAGGAGCGAAAGCGUGGGGAGCGAACAGG
rnacentral:rRNA from 1 species